rnacentral:rRNA from 1 species
AUUAGCUAGUUGGUAAGGUAACGGCUUACCAAGGCGACGAUGGCUAGGGGUUCUGAGAGGAAGGUCCCCCACACUGGUACUGAGACACGGACCAGACUCCUACGGGAGGCAGCAGUGAGGAAUAUUGGUCAAUGGGCGCAAGCCUGAACCAGCCAUGCCGCGUGCAGGAAGACGGCCCUACGGGUUGUAAACUGCUUUUAUGUGAGGAUAAACUUGAGUUUGCGAACUCAACUGAAGGUAUCACAUGAAUAAGGAUCGGCUAACUCCGUGCCAGCAGCCGCGGUAAUACGGAGGAUUCGAGCGUUAUCCGGAUUUAUUGGGUUUAAAGGGUGCGUAGGCGGACUAUUAAGUCAGUGGUGAAAUUCGUCAGCUUAACUGAUGGACUGCCAUUGAUACUGUUGGUCUAGAAUAUAAAUGGUGCAGGCGGAAUGAAUCAUGUAGAGGUGACAUUCAUAGAUAUGAUUCAGAACACCGAUCGCGAAGGCAGCUUGCAAAGAUAGUAUUGACGCUGAGGCACGAAAGCGUGGGUAGCGAACAGGAUUAGAUACCCUGGUAGUCCACGCCGUAAAC